rnacentral:rRNA from 1 species
ACGUAGGGGGCAAGCGUUAUCCGGAUUUACUGGGUGUAAAGGGAGCGUAGACGGUGUGGCAAGUCUGAUGUGAAAGGCAUGGGCUCAACCUGUGGACUGCAUUGGAAACUGUCAUACUUGAGUGCCGGAGGGGUAAGCGGAAUUCCUAGUGUAGCGGUGAAAUGCGUAGAUAUUAGGAGGAACACCAGUGGCGAAGGCGGCCUACUGGACGGUAACUGACGUUGAGGCUCGAAAGCGUGGGGAGCAAACAG